rnacentral:rRNA from 1 species
UACGUAGGGAGCGAGCGUUGUCCGGAUUUACUGGGUGUAAAGGGUGCGUAGGCGGCUCUGCAAGUCAGGCGUGAAAUACAUGGGCUUAACUCAUGGACUGCGUUUGAAACUGUGGAGCUUGAGUGAAGUAGAGGUAGGCGGAAUUCCCGGUGUAGCGGUGAAAUGCGUAGAGAUCGGGAGGAACACCAGUGGCGAAGGCGGCCUACUGGGCUUUAACUGACGCUGAGGCACGAAAGCAUGGGUAGCAAAC